rnacentral:rRNA from 1 species
UGGGGAAUAUUGGACAAUGGGCGCAAGCCUGAUCCAGCCAUGCCGCGUGAGUGAUGAAGGCCCUAGGGUUGUAAAGCUCUUUCACCGGUGAAGAUAAUGACGGUAACCGGAGAAGAAGCCCCGGCUAACUUCGUGCCAGCAGCCGCGGUAAUACGAAGGGGGCUAGCGUUGUUCGGAUUUACUGGGCGUAAAGCGCACGUAGGCGGACUUUUAAGUCAGGGGUGAAAUCCCGGGGCUCAACCCCGGAACUGCCUUUGAUACUGGAAGUCUUGAGUAUGGUAGAGGUGAGUGGAAUUCCGAGUGUAGAGGAGAAAUUCGUAGAUAUUCGGAGGAACACCAGUGGCGAAGGCGGCUCACUGGACCAUUACUGACGCUGAGGUGCGAAAGCGUGGGGAGCAAACAGG